UACGGAUUCUUCCCUGGAAAGCUGAGGUUUUUUGCUGCGGGGAAGUAUAGAAAUAAAAAUGAGAGAGGGUGUGUAAAUGACAGUUUUCGACUUACCUUGCUGAAUGGGUUGGUUGCUGGAAGUCAGGGCUAUGGGGAGAGCUCUAAGCAGCCAGCUGGAGGACAGGCAUCGCUUAUGACAAAAGAGCUGGAUUUGGAGGUGCCUAGCAGGAAGUUUUCCAAAGAGAUAGCAGAGCUCCAGGGGACCGUGAGUGAGCUGUGGACAUCUGCCAUGCCACAGGGCACCAAUGCCCUUUUACAAUCCCUCCACUCAAGUUAAUAGAAAACUUAACUCAAUCUGGAUGAAACAAGUGGAAUUUGUUGCCUCUUAGCCAAUAAAAUGGAAGUCCAAAGGCGUAAGCACUGUUGUCACAGUCUAAGAUGGUGGCUAGAGCUUCAGUCGUCGUAUUCAUGCUCCCGGGAGCAGGAUGGAGAAAGGAUGAAGAAGAUGUCCAUGAGUCAGCUGUCUUGUAAGGAAGGUUCCUAGAAGCUGCCACAUGACAUUUCUGCUUAUAUUCCAUCAGCCAGGGCGUAGUCACAUGGAUCCGCCAAACUGCAAAGAGACGAUGUAUUUAUGGAGCAUUGUUUUAUGGUGAUGAAUAGGACAGGGAAAGCCUCUGUUUUCAUGGUGCUCAUACGUUCAAGGAAGAGAGUCACCAAAAUCUGAUAAAUAAGAAACUAACUAACUGUGAGAAUAUCACGUAAUGAAAGUACUAUUAGAAAAUGAAACAAGGUGUGAAGGUGAGGAUGAAGGGGAGAGUGAAUGAAGGCCACGUUCAAUGGAAUGCUCAGGAAGGUCUUUUGGGGGAG
rnacentral:lncRNA from 1 species